rnacentral:piRNA from 1 species
UUUGAGUCCUUAUUUCCAGUAAUGCCUGCUC